AGCAGCCGCGGUAAUUCCAGCUCCAAUAGCGUAUAUUAAAGUUGUUGCAGUUAAAAGCUCGUAGUUGAACUUCGGGGUCUACCCAUUGGUCAGGCUUAAUUGUCUGCACUGGUGGGAUGGAUCUCUACCUUCUGAGGAACUUUCAUGCCAUUUAUUUGGUGUGAUGGGAAAUCAGGACUGUUACUUUGAAAAAUUGAGUGUUUAAAGCAGACUAUCGUCUGAAUACAUUAGCAUGGAAUAAUGAAAUAGGACGGACUGAUUCUAUUUCGUUGGUUUCUAGGAUCACCGUAAUGAUUAAUAGGGAUAGUUGGGGGCAUUAGUAUUCAAUUGUCAGAGGUGAAAUUCUUGGAUUUAUUGAAGACUAACUACUGCGAAAGCAUUUGCCAAGGAUGUUUUCAUUAAUCAAGAACGAAAGUUAGGGGAUCGAAGACGAUCAGAUACCGUCGUAGUCUUAACCAUAAACUAUGCCGACUAGGGAUCGGACGAAGUUAAUUUUAUAAUGACGCGUUCGGUACCG
rnacentral:misc_RNA from 1 species